AAGGGCCGCGGUAUUCCUGACCGUGCGAAGGUAGCAUAAUCAUUAGUCUUUUAAUUGGAGGCUCGUAUGAAUGGUUGGACGAAAAAUAAUCUGUCUCUUAGCUGAAAAUUGAAUUUAACAUUUAAGUGAAAAGGCUUAAAUAUAGUAAAAAGACGAUAAGACCCUAUAAAUCUUUACAUUAUCUUAAGAUUUAAGGCUAAAUAUAAGUAAAAUGUUUUUAAAUUUUUUAUAAUGUUUUGUUGGGGCAACAUGAAUAGCAAUAUUUAUCUGUUUAUAAAAGUUACAAGAAAUUUUUGAGUGUAUAAAAAUAAGAUCCUUCUUAGAGAUUACAAGAUUAAGUUACUUUAGGGAUAACAGCGUUAUUUUACUUGAGAGUUCUUAUCGAAAGUAAAGUUUGCGACCUCGAUGUUGAAUUAAAAUUUCUUUAUGGUGUAGCCGCUAUAGAAGAGAGUCUGUUCGACUUUUA
rnacentral:rRNA from 1 species